AACCCAUGUUGAGGACAUUUCCACAGCAGCUCCUUGAACCUAUCCCAUGUCUCAAAAAGAGAUUCCAAUUCCGUUUGCACAAAAGAGGAUAUUUCAUUUUUAAGCUU